rnacentral:rRNA from 1 species
GGCGAACUGGUGAGUAACACGUGGGUAACCUGCCCCGAAGCGGGGGAUAACAUUUGGAAACAAGUGCUAAUACCGCAUAAUUAGUUGGAACCGCAUGGUUCCAACUUGAAAGAUGGCUCUGCUAUCACUUUGGGAUGGACCCGCGCCGUAUUAGUUAGUUGGUGAGAUAAAAGCCCACCAAGACGAUGAUACGUAGCCGACCUGAGAGGGUAAUCGGCCACAUUGGGACUGAGACACGGCCCAAACUCCUAAGGGAGGCAGCAGUAGGGAAUCUUCCACAAUGGACGAAAGUCUGAUGGAGCAACGCCGCGUGAGUGAUGAAGGUUUUCGGAUCGUAAAACUCUGUUGUUAAAGAAGAACAAGUGUUAGAGUAACUGUUAACACUUUGACGGUAUUUAACCAGAAAGCCACGGCUAACUACGUGCCAGCAGCCGCGGUAAUACGUAGGUGGCAAGCGUUGUCCGGAUUUAUUGGGCGUAAAGCGAGCGCAGGCGGUUUUGU